rnacentral:rRNA from 1 species
CAUCGAUGAAGAACGCAGCGAAAUGCGAUAAGUAAUGUGAAUUGCAGAAUUCAGUGAAUCAUCGAAUCUUUGAACGCACAUUGCGCCCAUCAGUAUUCUGGUGGGCAUGCCUGUUCGAGCGUCAUUUCAACCCUUAAGCCUAGCUUAGUGUUGGGAAUCUACUGUAUUGUAGUUCCUUAAAGACAGUGGCGGAGCGAUAGUUGUCCUCUGAGCGUAGUAAAUUUAUUUCUCGCUUCUGUAAGGCUCUAUCUUCUCGCCAUAAAACCCCCAAUUUUUAGUGGUUGACCUCGGAUCAGGUAGGAAUACCCGCUGAACUUAAGCAUAUCAAUAAGCGGAGGAAAAGAAACCAACAGGGAUUCCCCUAGUAACGGCGAGUGAAGCGGGAACAGCUCAAAUUUGAAAUCUGGCCCUUGGGUCCGAGUUGUAAUUUGCAGAGGAUGCUUUUGGUGCGGUGCCUUCCGAGUUCCCUGGAACGGGACGCCUUAGAGGGUGAGAGCCCCGUACGGUUGGACACCAAGCCUAUGUAAAGCUCCUUCGACGAGUCGAGUAGUUUGGGAAUGCUGCUCAAAAUGGGAGGUAUAUUUCUUCUAAAGCUAAAUAUUGGCCAGAGACCGAUAGCGCACAAGUAGAGUGAUCGAAAGAUGAAAAGCACUUUGAAAAGAGGGUUAAAUAGCACGUGAAAUUGUUGAAAGGGAAGGAUUUAUGACCAGACUUUUUCUAGGGGGAUCAUCCGGUGUUCUCACCGGUGCACUUCCCCUAGUUGAGGCCAGCAUCGGUUUCUGUCGAGGGAUAAAAGUUUCGGGAAUGUGGCUCCCUCCGGGGAGUGUUAUAGCCUGUUGCAUAAUACCUUGACGGGGACCGAGG